UUGCUCCUAUCCGUUGAUUGUUGCACCAAGCAACAUCGAAUCUCUACCUCCCUCCUUGAGGUAUUGUUUCGGUUCCAUAGCAAAGACUCUUCUUUGCCAAGUCCGGAGGAUGUUCACCCCUAGUACGUCUCUUUAGCAUCUUCUGCUAUGGGCUCUAUCCACGGCCCAACUUCAUGACCCUCCCAUGGGUCUUUUAUAGAGACUACUUUCCUCGGACUCACUAUGCCAUCGCACGGACAUAGUUUAUUUCCCUUAGGUGCUCUUCCCACUUGGUCAUCAGGACCAAGCCACACCACCUUAAACAGUUCAAUUUCAACAUUUUGAACCAGGAACUUCAUUCCUUAGCCAACCAAGGACCUUGUCCUUAUCUGGCCAUAAGAUCACCUAGUGAUCUCACCU
rnacentral:lncRNA from 1 species